GAAUGCUGACAUAAGUAACGAUAAAGCGGGUGAAAAGCCCGCUCGCCGGAAGACCAAGGGUUCCUGUCCAACGUUAAUCGGGGCAGGGUGAGUCGACCCCUAAGGCGAGGCCGAAAGGCGUAGUCGAUGGGAAACGGGUUAAUAUUCCCGUACUUGGUGUUACUGCGAAGGGGGGACGGAGAAGGCUAUGUUGGCCGGGCGACGGUUGUCCCGGUUUAAGCGUGUAGGUGUGUGUUCCAGGUAAAUCCGGUUCACUUUAACACUGAGGCGUGAUGACGAGGCACUACGGUGCUGAAGCAACAAAUGCCCUGCUUCCAGGAAAAGCCUCUAAGCAUCAGGUAACAUCAAAUCGUACCCCAAACCGACACAGGUGGUCAGGUAGAGAAUACCAAGGCGCUUGAGAGAACUCGGGUGAAGGAACUAGGCAAAAUGGUGCCGUAACUUCGGGAGAAGGCACGCUGACACGUAGGUGAAGUGAUUUACUCACGGAGCUGAAGUCAGUCGAAGA
rnacentral:rRNA from 1 species